ensembl:snoRNA U3 Small nucleolar RNA U3
AAGACUAUACUUUCAGGGAUCAUUUCUAUAGUUUGUUACAUUGAUUAUGAUAUAUACCAUAUGCAUUACAUAUA